UAGGGAAUCUUCCACAAUGGACGCAAGUCUGAUGGAGCAACGCCGCGUGAGUGAAGAAGGUCCUCGGAUCGUAAAACUCUGUUGUUAGAGAAGAACACGAGUGAGAGUAACUGUUCAUUCGAUGACGGUAUCUAACCAGCAAGUCACGGCUAACUACGUACCAG
rnacentral:rRNA from 1 species